CCCACAUCUGUUCCUUCAUUCCCUCCCAAAUUAUUCCCUAAUUCCCUCCCAAAUUAUAUAUCAAAAUUUUGAGAGACGGACACUAAAUCAGAAAUUGAUUUCCCUUCCUCUGAAAUUGGAAAAUAUCUACCACCGCCAAUCAACCGUAACCACCUAUGCUACCGUCAGAGGAAAAAUAUGACCACCAUAACCGGAUAUUGUGGGCCACCACCACCACUGAGAUGUCUAGCUAGAUGGACUCACUCUGUCUCGCCGAAGUCUGUAGUCCUCUUUCUCAAUCUCUCCAGUGAGUUCGAACUCCAGUCAAACUUGCGUUCCAGCUAGCUCUCUUGUCUUCGUAUUACAUUUGUGAGUCAUCUUCGGCCAAACUUGAAGAAAAUGCCAGUUUUACUUUGAGGAGCCAGAAACAAAGGCUAUUUCAAUUUUGGUUUCUCUACUUUCUUCUCCAAAUUCUCUUCUUUGUCGUCAAUUUCCAUUGACGUGAGUCCAUCGUCGCGACUCGAGACUGAGGUCAUGUCUCGGCAAAAGAGCUUGACGAGACAUAAAAUGCAAAGCAAUUCAUGGUUCUGAGACCAGAGACAUUAGCUUCACAAUGACGGAGGCAAAAACAAAGGCUAAGAACGUGGAGAAACAAAGGCAUUCUGCGCUCGGCAGUUAUCUGCAGUUUUGCUAGCUGCUGCUGCUACUUCUUCCCCUUGUUUUGGUUGCAUUCAUGUGCAGGUUUUUUGCAGUUGUAGUGCUGGGUUUUUAGCCUCUUUUUGGUGGCUGGUUUUAAUGUACAACUUGUGCAAUUGGUUUUUGUUUACCAAAAAACCUGCAUUGUUUUUGUGAUGCUGGUCAUUUUUUGUUUAGUCCUCUUUGAGGGUGGUUAGAUGGUUCUUAUGGAUUGUAAAUUUGUGACUCUUUUGUUGUUUU